CAGCUUGGAACCUGAUCAGACGCCGAUUUAAUCGGCGUCUGAUCUGGUUCCAAGCUGUUUGCAAAGGCUGUUAAAUUCGCCUGCAGCAAGCUAAGCGUUAAAAGAAAUAGUGAGAAAAGGAAUCAUUUGCAUUUCAUUUAUAUUAAUUUUGUUGUAUCUAA
rnacentral:snoRNA from 1 species